GGACUACUGGGGUUUCUAAUCCCGUUCGCUCCCCUGGCUUUCGCGCCUCAGCGUCAGCAGAGGUCCAGCGCGCCGCUUUCGCCACCGGCGUUCCUUCCGAUAUCUACGCAUUUCACCGCUCCACCGGAAGUUCCGCGCGCCCCUACCUCCCUCGAGACGUCCAGUAUCCCAGGCCAUUCCCCGGUUGAGCCGGGGGCUUUCACCCCGGACUGGGACGUCCGCCUACGCGCCCUUUAAGCCCAGUGAUUCCGAACAACGUUCGCACGGUUCGUCUUACCGCGGCUGCUGGCAC
rnacentral:rRNA from 1 species